rnacentral:rRNA from 1 species
GUCCAGACUCCUACGGGAGGCAGCAGUGGGGAAUAUUGCACAAUGGGGGAAACCCUGAUGCAGCGACGCCGCGUGAGCGAUGAAGUAUUUCGGUAUGUAAAGCUCUAUCAGCAGGGAAGAAAAUGACGGUACCUGACUAAGAAGCCCCGGCUAACUACGUACCAGCAGCCGCGGUAAUACGUAGGUGGCAAGCGUUAUCCGGAUUUAUUGGGUGUAAAGGGCGUGUAGGCGGGAGCGCAAGUCUGAUGUGAAAGGCCGGGGCCCAACCCCGGGACUGCAUUGGAAACUGCGAGGCUGGAGUGUCGGAGAGGCAGGCGGAAUUCCUAGUGUAGCGGUGAAAUGCGUAGAUAUUAGGAGGAACACCAGUGGCGAAGGCGGCCUGCUGGACGAUGACUGACGCUGAGGCUCGAAAGCGUGGGGAGCAAACAGGAUUAGAUACCCCAGUAA